GGGUGAGUAACACGUGAGCAACCUGCCCCUGACUCUGGGAUAAGCGCUGGAAACGGCGUCUAAUACUGGAUAUGUGACGUGACCGCAUGGUCUGCGUCUGGAAAGAAUUUCGGUUGGGGAUGGGCUCGCGGCCUAUCAGCUUGUUGGUGAGGUAAUGGCUCACCAAGGCGUCGACGGGUAGCCGGCCUGAGAGGGUGACCGGCCACACUGGGACUGAGACACGGCCCAGACUCCUACGGGAGGCAGCAGUGGGGAAUAUUGCACAAUGGGCGCAAGCCUGAUGCAGCAACGCCGCGUGAGGGAUGACGGCCUUCGGGUUGUAAACCUCUUUUAGCAGGGAAGAAGCGAAAGUGACGGUACCUGCAGAAAAAGCGCCGGCUAACUACGUGCCAGCAGCCGCGGUAAUACGUAGGGCGCAAGCGUUAUCCGGAAUUAUUGGGCGUAAAGAGCUCGUAGGCGGUUUGUCGCGUCUGCUGUGAAAUCCGGAGGCUCAACCUCCGGCCUGCAGUGGGUACGGGCAGACUAGAGUGCGGUAGGGGAGAUUGGAAUUCCUGGUGUAGCGGUGGAAUGCGCAGAUAUCAGGAGGAACACCGAUGGCGAAGGCAGAUCUCUGGGCCGUAACUGACGCUGAGGAGCGAAAGGGUGGGGAGCAAACAGGCUUAGAUACCCUGGUAGUCCACCCCGUAAACGUUGGGAACUAGUUGUGGGGUCCAUU
rnacentral:rRNA from 1 species